rnacentral:rRNA from 1 species
AGUGAACGCUGGCGGUAGGCCUAACACAUGCAAGUCGAACGGCAGCACAGUAAGAGCUUGCUCUUACGGGUGGCGAGUGGCGGACGGGUGAGGAAUACAUCGGAAUCUACUUUUUCGUGGGGGAUAACGUAGGGAAACUUACGCUAAUACCGCAUACGACCUACGGGUGAAAGCAGGGGAUCUUCGGACCUUGCGCGAUUGAAUGAGCCGAUGUCGGAUUAGCUAGUUGGCGGGGUAAAGGCCCACCAAGGCGACGAUCCGUAGCUGGUCUGAGAGGAUGAUAAGCCACACUGGAACUGAGACACGGUCCAGACUCCUACGGGAGGCAGCAGUGGGGAAUAUUGGACAAUGGGCGCAAGCCUGAUACAGCCAUACCGCGUGGGUGAAGAAGGCCUUCGGGUUGUAAAGCCCUUUUGUUGGGAAAGAAAAGCAGCAGGUUAAUACCCCGCUGUUCUGACGGUACCCAAAGAAUAAGCACCGGCUAACUUCGUG